UGCUGACAAACUGCACGGAUAUAAUUAUUUAGCACUAGAGUUUAAUUUAUGCAUGUUUUAACUGACGCGUAAUUUGACGCGUCAUAUUCAUUGGGACACAAAGGAUUUUAGUCUAUAGUGCAGCUGACAGUUACCACAUGCUAACCUGGGCGAAAGCUUAAUCAUUGUAUUACUUUAUUAUAUCGGGUAACCUGUAUUGAAAUUAAUGUAGAUCGUGAGGACCCGGCAAAGAAAUCGAAUAAAAAUUAUUUACUUAUAAUCUAUACGAUUCCGACUCACGGAUCUACCGCACUGCUAACCUGAGAAUCCACAGUGUAUUUAAAGGCUGAAUAUAGUGGUAAAACGAAGAACUUGAACGUUGAGAUUAGGUGUCGUGGGUGAAGUUCCCCCACCAAAUGCCGAAGACAUCGUAGUGCGGCACGUAAUCGAGGUGUGGGUCAUAUGACAAUGUGCAAGGCUCACAAAUAUUAACUGACAAACAAAACGUGUCAGCGGAAUGAUCAGAUUGAAUCAUCGAAAUGAUUAUAAUACUUGUAUAUUUAAAUUAUUUAGUUAGAAAAUUUUUUAUUCAGCAAGACUCACAUUGAUAACAGAUUUUUAAUAUUUUACAAAUAUCUGAAGUGACUCUCCUGUGAAAAUAUUCGCUGAAAAAAUAAAUAAAUAAAUAAAUUCUUCAA